rnacentral:tRNA from 1 species
GGCCGGCUGGCUUAGUUGGUAGAGCGCGUGACUCGAGCUCAGGGUCGUGAGUUCAAACCCCUCGUUGGGCA